rnacentral:snRNA from 1 species
CUACUGACUUGGCGGGAGAAAGACCUGCCCUGGUUUCCCCUGGGACAGUCUCACUCAUAGCUUUCUGGGUGUACAGGCCCCUGUGAUUUACCCAAAUGUGAAAAAUACAGCUGCAUAAUUUGAAGUAGUAAGUGACUGCAUUCACACUUU